GAGCCGGCCGCGGUGUUUACGGCUGAAGCCGCUUCAAGUGUCCCGGUCCGCUUCUGCCGCUCUCAGGUUUCAUCCGCCGACAUAAUGAGGCAACAGCCUGAAUCUCCAGCUGUGGCUCCGGAGGGCCUCCAUAGAUGAACCAGGACUGUUAGGCUGCAUCCCUGGUAGUGAAGCCCCCCUCACUGCUUUCAGCCACUCAGGGGACCCUUUUCACUGUGUCAACAUCUACAGCGUCAGGGUGCUCGGGAGGAAGCGGGGCCUCUUUUCAGCCGCCUGCUGUUUACUCUGGGUGUAGAUGAGCGCAGUGUCCCAGGGAUGGACCGAGUGGACAGCCUGGCAGAGUAUU